GAUGAACGCUGGCGGCGUGCUUAACACAUGCAAGUCGAACGGAAAGGCCCAAGCUUGCUUGGGUACUCGAGUGGCGAACGGGUGAGUAACACGUGGGUGAUCUGCCCUGCACUUCGGGAUAAGCCUGGGAAACUGGGUCUAAUACAGGAUAGGACCACAUUUUGGAUGGUGUGGUGGAAAGUUUUUCGGUGUGGGAUGAGCUCGCGGCCUAUCAGCUUGUUGGUGGGGUAGUGGCCUACCAAGGCGUCGACGGGUAGCCGGCCGGCGAGAGUGGACGGCCACAUUGGGCCUGUGCUGCAGCCCGGACUCCGACGUGUUGCAGCAUUGGGGAAUAUUGCACAAUGGGCGCCAGCCUGAUGCAGCGACGCCGCGUGGGGGAUGACGGCCUUCGUUGUGUAAACUCCUUUCGCUAGGGACGAAGCGUUUUUGUGACGGUACCUGGAGAAGAAGCACCGGCUAACUACGUG
rnacentral:rRNA from 1 species